CUAGGAAAUCGUAAUUUGAUACCUUAUAACCUCCCGCCAAACCUUCUUAGAUUAGAUCUUAGCAAUAAUCAAUUUGGUGGAAGCAUACCCUAUUCAGUUUCUCAUAUGGCCAAAUUGGAGCUUCUAAAUCUUGCUCACAAUCAACUCCGUGGGCGUCUGGAUGAUAUUUUUCAAGGCCUCUCCAAACUCACAACAAUGGACCUGUCUUACAAUUCUCUUAAUGGUACCCUUCCACAAAGCUUCAGA